CCAUCAACUUUAGCAAUGCCAAUCAUCCUCCUCUAUUUCUGUUCAUGUACCACACAACCAGUUGCAGAAAAUUCAGUAAAGACACUUUCAUCCUUAAUUAGUUUACUGAUUGAAAGUAAAUUGCAGGACAGGUUUGGAACAUGUAACACUUCAUCAAGAAAAAAAAUUCUUUGUUAAUUGUAUAUUUUCAAUAGCAGCCACAGGUGAGUAAGAGCUAUCAGCAAUGCAAAUUCGG
rnacentral:lncRNA from 1 species